rnacentral:rRNA from 1 species
CGUCUAUAUACGUAUAGCAUAUCAAUAAGCGGAGGAAAAGAAACUAACUAGGAUUCCCUCAGUAACGGCGAGUGAAGCGGGAAGAGCUCAAAUUUGAAAUCUUCAAGGUUCUACCUUGACGAAUUGUAGUUUAAAGAAGUGUUUUCUGUUGGAGUUUUGGUAAAAGUUCUUUGGAAUAGGACAUCAUAGAGGGUGAGAAUCCCGUAUUUGACCAUUAUUUCCAACUUUGUGAUACACUUUCAAAGAGUCGGAUUGUUUGGGAAUGCAGUCCAAAAUGGGUGGUAAAUUUCAUCUAAAGCUAAAUACUGGCGAGAGACCGAUAGCGAACAAGUACCGUGAGGGAAAGAUGAAAAGAACUUUGAAAAGAGAGUUAAACAGUACGUGAAAUUGUCAAAAGGGAAGCGUUUGACACCAGUGUUGUUUUCUCGAAAAUCAAUUAAAAAUGCAUGGAUUUUGUGUUGUAUUGACUUUAUCAGCUUUCUGCACUCCUUUUCCUGUCUUUUUUAAUGCACUUUUCGUUUAACAAGUCAACAUCAAUUUCUUUUGUUGUAAAAGGGUCAUUGGAAGGUGGCUUUCUUUUCGGAGAAAGUGUUUAUAGCCUUUGGCUUCUACAAUCGGAGAGAUUGAGGUCUGCAGCGUAGAUCCUUCGGGGUUAGAUACAUUUGUGCUAAGUUAUAGCCUUUCAUAGACAACUUGUUGACUAUGAUCAGUCAUGUAGCUUACUCGCUUAUGCUAUUUUACCUACGCUUAGGAUGUUGACGAUCAGCUGAGCGCG